rnacentral:lncRNA from 1 species
AGACAGUUUCCAUCAUGCCCCCUGACCAUCUGGAAUUAUCCCAACUCCCUGGCAAGGCACAGACCUGGGAUCUCACCAGCCCAAACUGCAGUCUUUUCCAGAAGUUUUGAGGUGUGUACGGUGCCACUAGGGAUCGAACUUGGGACCUUGCCUUUGUGAGACAGGUGGUAGAACCACUGAGCUAAAUGCCUGGCCCAAGAAAGCAUUGACUUAUAAAGAGAAGAGCUUACUCCCUUCUGAUGCUCUGGUCCCAUAUCGGGAGGCCCAGCUGGAUGGCAGUGGAGCAGACUGCUCCCCACAUGAGCCAGGAAGUCAGAGCCAG